UAGCCGAUGACGAUAUCAGUUACCAAACACCAUCUUUCGGGACUGAAUGGCUCGUAAAGCCUUGUUGUUAUUCUGCAAUUCUGAGGCUA
rfam:Vigna radiata var. radiata cultivar VC1973A chromosome 10, whole genome shotgun sequence